AGAGUUUGAUCAUGGCUCAGGAUAAACGCUGGCGGCGUGCCUAAUACAUGCAAGUCGAAGAAGGGAACCAGUUUACUGGUGAACUUAGUGGCGAACGGGUGAGUAAUACGUAAGCAACUGCCCACGGAGACCGGGAUAAUCCCUGGAAACGGGGACUAAGACCGGAUAGGCAGCGGAGGGCAUCCCACUGCUGUUAAAGAUGGAAAACACUGGUGGAUGGGCUUACGGUGCAUUAGUUGUUGGUGAGGUAACGGCCCACCAAGGCGAUGAUGCAUAGCCGGCCUGAGAGGGUGAAGGCCACAUUGGUACUGAGACACGGCCCAGACUCCUACGGGAGGCAGCAGUAGGGAAUUUCGGCAAUGGAGGAAACUCUGACCGAGCAACGCCGCGUGAGUGAAGAAGGUCUUCGGAUUUAAAGCUCUGUUGUAAGGGAAGAACGGUCUGUGGAGAACACAGGAGUGACGGUACCUUACAGAAAGCCACGGCUAACUACGUGCCAGCAGCCGCGGUAAUACGUAGGUGGCGAGCGUUUCCGGAAUUAUUGGGCGUAAAGGGUGCGCAGGCGGCCGAUUAAGUUUGCGGUGAAAGCGGGGGCUCAACCCCAUACAGCCACAGAUACUGGUCGGCUAGAGUACUGGAGAGGAAAGUGAAUUCCAUGUGUAGCGGUAAAAUGCGUAGAUAUAUGGAGGAACACCGGUGGCGAAGGCGCUUUCUAGCCAGAGACUGACGCUCAUGCACGAAAGCGUGGGGAGCAAAUAGGAUUAGAUCCCUAGUAGUCCACGCUGUAAACGAUGAAUGCUAAGUGUUGGGGAAACUCAGUGCUGCACUAACGCAAUAAGCAUUCCGCCUG
rnacentral:rRNA from 1 species